rnacentral:rRNA from 1 species
UAGCUAGUUGGUGAGGUAACGGCCCACCAAGGCGACGAUCCAUAGCCGACCUGAGAGGGUGACCGGCCACAUUGGGACUGAGACACGGCCCAAACUCCUACGGGAGGCAGCAGUGGGGAACAUUGCACAAUGGGGGAAACCCUGAUGCAGCGACGCCGCGUGGAGGAAGAAGGUCUUCGGAUUGUAAACUCCUGUUGUUGAGGAAGAUAAUGACGGUACUCAACAAGGAAGUGACGGCUAACUACGUGCCAGCAGCCGCGGUAAAACGUAGGUCACAAGCGUUGUCCGGAAUUACUGGGUGUAAAGGGAGCGCAGGCGGGAAGGCAAGUUGGAAGUGAAAUCUAUGGGCUCAACCCAUAAACUGCUUUCAAAACUGUUUUUCUUGAGUAGUGCAGAGGUAGGUGGAAUUCCCGGUGUAGCGGUGGAAUGCGUAGAUAUCGGGAGGAACACCAGUGGCGAAGGCGGCCUACUGGGCACCAACUGACGCUGAGGCUCGAAAGUGUGGGUAGCAAACAGGAUUAGAUACCCUGGUAGUCCACACCGUAAACGAUGAUUACUAGGUGUUGGAGGAUUGACCCCUUCAGUGCCGCAGUUAACACAAUAAGUAAUCCACCUGGGGAGUACGACCGCAAGGUUGAAACUCAAAGGAAUUGACGGGGGCCCGCACAAGCAGUGGAGUAUGUGGUUUAAUUCGACGCAACGCGAAGAACCUUACCAAGUCUUGACAUCCCUUGACGAACAUAGAAAUAUGUUUUCUCUUCGGAGCAAGGAGACAGGUGGUGCAUGGUUGUCGUCAGCUCGUGUCGUGAGGUGUUGGGUUAAGUCCCGCAACGAGCGCAACCCUUAUGGUCAGUUACUACGCAAGAGGACUCUGGCCAGACUGCCGUUGACAAAACGGAGGAAGGUGGGGAUGACGUCAAAUCAUCAUGCCCUUUAUGACUUGGGCUACACACGUACUACAAUGGCGUUAAACAAAGAGAAGCAAGACCGCGAGGUGGAGCAAAACUCAGAAACAACGUCCCAGUUCGGACUGCAGGCUGCAACUCGCCUGCACGAAGUCGGAAUUGCUAGUAAUCGCAGAUCAGCAUGCUGCGGUGAAUACGUUCCCGGGCCUUGUACACACCGCCCGUCACACCAUGAGAGCCGGGGGGACCCGAAGUCGGUAGUCUAACCGCAAGGAGGACGCCGCCGAAGGUAAAACUGGUGAUUGGGGUGAAGUCGUAACAAGGUAGCCGUACUAGUAC